rnacentral:rRNA from 1 species
UGGAUUAGUGGCGAACGGGUGAGUAACACGUGGGCAAUCUGCCCUUCACUCUGGGACAAGCCCUGGAAACGGGGUCUAAUACCGGAUAACACUCUGUCCCGCAUGGGACGGGGUUAAAAGCUCCGGCGGUGAAGGAUGAGCCCGCGGCCUAUCAGCUUGUUGGUGGGGUGAUGGCCUACCAAGGCGACGACGGGUAGCCGGCCUGAGAGGGCGACCGGCCACACUGGGACUGAGACACGGCCCAGACUCCUACGGGAGGCAGCAGUGGGGAAUAUUGCACAAUGGGCGAAAGCCUGAUGCAGCGACGCCGCGUGAGGGAUGACGGCCUUCGGGUUGUAAACCUCUUUCAGCAGGGAAGAAGCGAGAGUGACGGUACCUGCAGAAGAAGCGCCGGCUAACUACGUGCCAGCAGCCGCGGUAAUACGUAGGGCGCAAGCGUUGUCCGGAAUUAUUGGGCGUAAAGAGCUCGUAGGCGGCUUGUUGCGUCGGUUGUGAAAGCCCGGGGCUUAACCCCGGGUCUGCAGUCGAUACGGGCAGGCUAGAGUGUGGUAGGGGAGAUCGGAAUUCCUGGUGUAGCGGUGAAAUGCGCAGAUAUCAGGAGGAACACCGGUGGCGAAGGCGGAUCUCUGGGCCAUUACUGACGCUGAGGAGCGAAAGCGUGGGGAGCGAACAGGAUUAGAUACCC